UACAGAGGUCCCGAGCGUUUGUUCGGAUUCAUUGGGCGUAAAGGGUGCGUAGGCGGUCUGCUAAGUUUGAUGUGAAAUCCCGGGGCUCAACCCUGGAAUGGCAUUGAAUACUGGCGGACUAGAGUACCGGAGAGGAAACUGGAAUUUACGGUGUAGCAGUGAAAUGCGUAGAGAUCGUAAGGAAGACCAGUGGCGAAGGCGAGUUUCUGGACGGUAACUGACGCUGAGGCACGAAGGCCAGGGGAGCAAACGGG
rnacentral:rRNA from 1 species